UUAACCCUGCUGUGUACGUGAUGGGUUUCUAGCGUUGAGCCAACGCUUUACAAAUGGGAACGUGAAUACGCUGAGGGGAUGUAGUAGCCGGAAGGCAAGGCAGUAUCCAUGCGAAAAUGUUCCCACCUGCAUCAGCAGGUUCAAAUGUCUGAUCUCACACGGCAUCGCGGGGUUUUC
rnacentral:other from 1 species